rnacentral:rRNA from 1 species
GAUGAACGCUGACAGAAUGCUUAACACAUGCAAGUCUUUGGCGAAGCUGUGCUUGCACAGCCUAGCCAAGGCGGACGGGUGAGUAACGCGUAAGGAACUUGCCCUGCAGUCAGGGAUAACAGACGGAAACGACUGAUAAGACCUGGUAAAGUCAGGCGGACUCAUGACCAGCCUGAUGAAAAGUGAUGCUGCAGGAGAGCCUUGCGUCCUAUUAGCUUGUUGGUGGGGUAACGGCCCACCAAGGCGAUGAUAGGUAGCCGGCCUGAGAGGGUGGACGGCCACAAGGGGACUGAGAUACGGCCCUUACUCCUACGGGAGGCAGCAGUGGGGAAUAUUGGACAAUGGGGGCAACCCUGAUCCAGCAAUUCUGUGUGCACGAUGAAGGUUUUCGGAUUGUAAAGUGCUUUCAGCAGGGAAGAAAAAAAUGACGGUACCUGCAGAAGAAGCGACGGCUAAAUACGUG